rnacentral:rRNA from 1 species
UACAGAGGUCCCAAGCGUUGUUCGGAUUCAUUGGGCGUAAAGGGUGCGUAGGUGGCGGGGUAAGUCUGGUGUGAAAUCUCGGGGCUCAACCCCGAAACUGCACUGGAUACUGCCUUGCUCGAGUACUGGAGAGGAGAUUGGAAUUUACGGUGUAGCAGUGAAAUGCGUAGAUAUCGUAAGGAAGACCAGUGGCGAAGGCGAAUCUCUGGACAGUUACUGACACUGAGGCACGAAGGCCAGGGGAGCAAACGGG